rnacentral:rRNA from 1 species
UGGGGAAUAUUGGACAAUGGGCGCAAGCCUGAUCCAGCCAUGCCGCGUGUGUGAUGAAGGCCCUAGGGUUGUAAAGCUCUUUCACCGGUGAAGAUAAUGACGGUAACCGGAGUAGAAGCCCCGGCUAACUUCGUGCCAGCAGCCGCGGUAAUACGAAGGGGGCUAGCGUUGUUCGGAUUUACUGGGCGUAAAGCGCACGUAGGCGGACUUUUAAGUCAGGGGUGAAAUCCCGGGGGUCAACCCCGGAACUGCCUUUGAUACUGGAAGUCUUGAGUAUGGUAGAGGUGGGUGGAAUUCCGAGUGUAGAGGUGAAAUUCGUAGAUAUUCGGAGGAACACCAGUGGCGAAGGCGGCUCACUGGACCAUUACUGACGCUGAGGUGCGAAAGCGUGGGGAGCAAACAGG